UACCUUAAUAAGACCCAUAAUAAUCAUACUCAUCAAAAAUUGACGUGAAUUAAAACAUUAAUGUUGGAAACCACAACUAUUGGCAGGAAAACUGAAAUAUUGUAUGGUAGUUAGUUUUAAAAUCUUCCUUUCAAUUUACUACACCUUGGAGUUGUUUUAUAAGGGCUCGGUGGUCUUGGGGAUGGAUCACCAAAUUGACUUGUAUCUCCUCCAGAAUCAGAGCCAGAGUUUGAGGAACCACCUUGAUUUCCUCUUCCCCGUGGUCUCCUUCUUCCAAGGCGCGGAGAUUUUAAGUUUGCUCCAUCAAAUGGGCCUAAUUUUCCAUCACUUUCAGAGUUAGAAUGUGUGGGCUUUCCUUUAUUUCCGUAUCUCCACGGGUUCCUUCUGCGAGGGCGUGGAGAACUUAAACUUACUCCAGCAAAUGGAUUCGGGUCAUUUCCCUCGUCUCCUUCAGGGUCAUUUUCUUCGUCUCCUUCAGGGUUAUUUAAGGAUGAGGAUGAACUAGAAGAGUCAUUACAACCUGUUCCAUCUGGACGAUCUCCUGUACCUUUAAGGCUUUCUUCAUCAUUUGAAGGACCACUAGAGCCUAAAUUCAACGAUUUCAGUUUAAUCAAUGACAUUUUUGAAUGUUCGUCAACUCUGCCAAGCUGAUUGAAUGUGGUAUAAUUCAAUAAACAAAUUAAACAUAGAAACACAUAUAAAAACUUCAUUUUUAAAACCAG
rnacentral:antisense_RNA from 1 species